AAAAAUAUAUAUGUAUUAAUAUCUAAAAAUAUUAUACCCUCCAUAAAUUGAAUAUAGUGUCUAUAGCAGUGGUUUCUAUCCACGUUUCUGGGAGGAGUUUCGUCAAAGUUGAUUGAAAACGUGACCGAGGUUGGAACUUGAACUUGAUGGACCUUUUAUAUCUUCAAGGCGAAAAAGGAAAAUAAAAGCUGAAACAUUUUCACAGAACCUUGCACAUCAUGUAGCUUAUAAACGCUGAACAAAACUGGUUUUAUGGUUUUUAAAUGCAAUACACAUUUUUUGUUUGUUUUUCUAAACUGGCUAAAGCUCUGGUUAACUAACACUUUGAUCCCAUUAAGUAAUGCAGUUGAUUAUUGCUCUCUCAGUACAACUGACACAGCCUUGAACUGGUGAAACAGCACUAAAUGUUGUUUAAUGACCAUACUGUUCGUGACUGCAGCAACUCAACAGUGGCACGAGAGAGGACCUUUUUUGUCAUCACAGAAAGUAAAUAAAAACUUGGCUCCUGACCUGAAAGGCGCCUUCCGGUCCAGCUAAUAGAAAUCGGAAACACAUGCUUGGAAAUCUGUCGAAAGAACUGCCAUCUAAAAAGACAACUCAGAUGGCUACCGGGAUUUCAAAGCCAUUGCUACUGCAAGCAAUAUGUGUGAGCACUUCAUUUCCCCCUGUGGUGGAUGCAGGCAAUUCAUGAGAGAGGCAAGUUUCAUUUACCACAGUAUUUCAUAUCAAUUAAGCAAGAAGCAUUCUCAGAUUUCAUUAAACACGUUAUUUUUGUUUUUACCUAUACAGUUCUGUGCAAACUGGGAUGUGUAUUUGUCAAAACCUGAUGGUUCCUAUGCGGAGAUGACUAUUAAAGAACUGCUGCUUGCAUCUUUUGGUCCAGAAGACUUAGAAACGAAGAAAGUGAAUAUCCAGAACGAGUUUUGAAGCACAGACUCUAGAAAGACUUUGUACCUGAUACUUUUGCUUGUAGAUAGAAAAAGGU